rnacentral:rRNA from 1 species
CACGUAGGGUGCGAGCGUUGUCCGGAAUUAUUGGGCGUAAAGAGCUCGUAGGCGGUGUGUCGCGUCGGCCGUGAAAACCUGUGGCUUAACUGUGGGCUUGCGGUCGAUACGGGCAUCACUGGAGUUCGGCAGGGGAGACUGGAAUUCCUGGUGUAGCGGUGAAAUGCGCAGAGUAUCAGGAGGAACGACCGUGGCGAAGGCGGGUCUCG